rnacentral:rRNA from 1 species
CCUACGGGGCGCAGCAGUGGGGAAUAUUGGACAAUGGGCGAAAGCCUGAUCCAGCCAUGCCGCGUGUGUGAAGAAGGCCUUCGGGUUGUAAAGCACUUUCAGUGGGGAAGAAAGCCUUGGGGCUAAUACCCUCGAGGAAGGACAUCACCCACAGAAGAAGCACCGGCUAACUCCGUGCCAGCAGCCGCGGUAAUACGGAGGGUGCGAGCGUUAAUCGGAAUUACUGGGCGUAAAGCGCGCGUAGGCGGUCUGAUAAGCCGGUUGUGAAAGCCCCGGGCUCAACCUGGGAACGGCAUCCGGAACUGUCAGGCUAGAGUGCAGGAGAGGAAGGUAGAAUUCCCGGUGUAGCGGUGAAAUGCGUAGAGAUCGGGAGGAAUACCAGUGGCGAAGGCGGUCUUCUGGACUGACACUGACGCUGAGGUGCGAAAGCGUGGGUAGCAAACAGGAUUAGAUACCCGGGUAGUC